rnacentral:rRNA from 1 species
GAUGAACGCUGGCGGCGUGCCUAAUACAUGCAAGUCGAGCGAACAGACGAGGAGCUUGCUCCUUUGGCGUUAGCGGCGGACGGGGGAGUAACAGGUAGUUAACCUACCUAUAAGACUGGGAUAACUUCGGGAAACCGGAGCAAAAAGCGGAGAAUAUUCCGAACCGCAUGGUUCGAUAGGGAAAGAUGGCUUUGCUAGCAGUUAUGGAUGGAGCUGCGCCGUAUUAGCUAGUUGGUAAGGUAGCGGCUUACGAAGGCAACGAUGCGUAGGCGACCUGGGAGGGUGGUCGGCCACACUGGAGCUGAGACGCUGUCCAGACUCCUACGGGAGGCAGCAGUAGGGAAUCUUCCGCCAUGGGCGGCGGCAUGCCGGAGCAGCGCCGCGUGAGUGAUGAAGGUCUUCGGAUCGUAGAGCUCUGUUAUUAGGGAUGAACAAGCGUGUAAGCAACUGUGCGCGUCUUGCCGGUACCUAAUCAGAAAGCCCCGGCUAACUACGUG